CGAUCCUUAGCUGGUCUGAGAGGAUGAUCAGCCACACUGGGACUGAGACACGGCCCAGACUCCUACGGGAGGCAGCAGUGGGGAAUCUUGCGCAAUGCGCGAAAGCGUGACGCAGCAACGCCGCGUGGGGGAAGAAGGCCUUCGGGUUGUAAACCCCUUUCAGUUGGGACGAAGCUUCGCCGGUUAAUAGCCGGCUGGAGUGACGGUACCUUCACAAGAAGCCCCGGCUAAC
rnacentral:rRNA from 1 species